GAUCAUGGCUCAGAUUGAACGCUGGCGGCAGGCCUAACACAUGCAAGUCGAACGGUAACAGGAAGCAGCUUGCUGCUUCGCUGACGAGUGGCGGACGGGUGAGUAAUGUCUGGGAAACUGCCUGAUGGAGGGGGAUAACUACUGGAAACGGUAGCUAAUACCGUAUAACGUCGCAAGACCAAAGAGGGGGGACCUUCGGGCCGUCUUGCCAUCGGAUGUGCCCAGAUGGGAUUAG
rnacentral:rRNA from 1 species